UGAACCUGGACCUGGACCUGGACCUGGACCUGAACCUGGACCUGGACCUGGAUCUGGACCCAGCUGUGUGUCCAUGAAGAGUGAUGCCUCCAGGAUUGAACCCAUAGGUUUUAAACCAGGCCGUGUUCCACAGACUCACCUCCAGUCAACCAGUCAAGCUCUUGGGAUGUCACCCUGAACAAGAACUCCAGGUCUUCAUCCAUCUCACAGAUACAUAAUGUCCAAGAGCAUCCUGGGUCAAGCCUCCCUGGAAAGCAACGACUGCCCUCAAAUGUGGCCAAACUAGGUCGAUGGCUUGGUUCGGAUCUCCAAAGUCCAUCAGCUUCUUCGCCUGUGAUGCCUGCCGUACAUGGGGUUCCAUCUGCCUUCACAUAUUUCUCUGGCGAUCUGCACAAGCAUAUUUCCAGAAAUGAAACACUUUGAACAGCCAGUGUGCAGGGAGUCACCGAGGUUGUUGAUGCAACAUUUGAACACCAUUGGGCUGUUAAUUGCUGGUUCUAUCUCACAUGUUAUGUCAAGAUGACCAUGGUGCUCUUUACAAUAGCUCCUGACUUCAGUGUAAUUGUGAUUGAUGGAUAGACCUUGGCUCUUUUAUAAAUAAAUAUGCAAGGACUUUU